rnacentral:rRNA from 1 species
AGAGAUUGAACAUAAGAGUUUGAUCCUGGCYCAGAUUGAACGCUGGCGGCAUGCUUUACACAUGCAAGUCGGACGGCAGCACAGAGAAGCUUGCUUCUYGGGUGGCGAGUGGCGAACGGGUGAGUAACAUAUCGGAACGUACCGAGUAGUGGGGGAUAACUGAUCGAAAGAUCAGCUAAUACCGCAUACGUCUUGAGAGAGAAAGCAGGGGACCUUUGGGCCUUGCGCUAUUCGAGCGGCCGAUAUCUGAUUAGCUGGUUGGUGGGGUAAAGGCCUACCAAGGCGACGAUCAGUAGCGGGUCUGAGAGGAUGAUCCGCCACACUGGGACUGAGACACGGCCCAGACUCCUACGGGAGGCAGCAGUGGGGAAUUUUGGACAAUGGGCGCAAGCCUGAUCCAGCCAUGCCGCGUGUCUGAAGAAGGCCUUCGGGUUGUAAAGGACUUUUGUCAGGGAAGAAAAGGCUGUUGCUAAUACCAGCGGCUGAUGACGGUACCUGAAGAAUAAGCACCGGCUAACUACGUGCCAGCAGCCGCGGUAAUACGUAGGGUGCGAGCGUUAAUCGGAAUUACUGGGCGUAAAGCGGGCGCAGACGGUUACUUAAGCAGGAUGUGAAAUCCYCGGGCUCAACCCGGGAACUGCGUUCUGAACUGGGUGACUCGAGUGUGUCAGAGGGAGGUAGAAUUCCACGUGUAGCAGUGAAAUGCGUAGAGAUGUGGAGGAAUACCGAUGGCGAAGGCAGCCUCCUGGGACAACACUGACGUUCAUGCCCGAAAGCGUGGGUAGCAAACAGGAUUAGAUACCCUGGUAGUCCACGCCCUAAACGAUGUCAAUUAGCUGUUGGGCAACUUGAUUGCUUAGUAGCGUAGCUAACGCGUGAAAUUGACCGCCUGGGGAGUACGGUCGCAAGAUUAAAACUCAAAGGAAUUGACGGGGACCCGCACAAGCGGUGGAUGAUGUGGAUUAAUUCGAUGCAACGCGAAGAACCUUACC